rnacentral:lncRNA from 1 species
GGAACACAAGAGCCAUGCUGUCAGGAGUCCAUGCUACAUGUGGAAAAACCACAUGAAGUUUUUCUAAUUGAGAGCCCAGUCCAUCUCACCAGGAGCCAACUUCAACUGUGAGUCAACUUUCAGAGGACUUCAGCCUCAGCUGCCAUUUGCCAGAAAACACAUGAAAAGUCAUAAGCAAGACCUACCAAAAUUAUCCAGGACGAUUCCAGAGAAACAUGGAAGAUAAUACCAAACCUUUUUCAGGCUCAUUGAAAAAUUUUGCUGGUACCAUCUGCCUCCUUCUUCAAUAAUAAGAGCCAACAUUUUUAUAGAGCCUUCCACUGACUCUGCAUCAAUAAAAGUCUUCAUAAAAUGUUAUAAAAGUACGUGAUAUAUACAAAGGUUGCAGACCACCAGCCAAGAGCUCACACACUGGCAUUGCCCUGAAGACGAGAUUGAGUGGUGCUGUGCUGUAAUAUCCCUGCAGGUGUGUUUCUUCCAGACAGUGGGAGACCUGGAGAGAGAGAGCAGAGCUUUUUGCUUUCCAGAGCCCCUUCACCAUAAGGUGUAAGACAUGAUUAAAAAAGAGCUAGUUGCCCUGUUCACAGUGAGACUCAGAGUUCACUCGCAUCUUAUGCUUUGCUUUUCAAAUAAGAACACUUGAUUGCAAAGAUUGUGAGGCCUCCCCUAACCCUGACACUCCUGGUCUCCCUCUGCUGAAGCAUUCUCAGCCACAGAAAGAUUUCAAAGGCUGGGGAGUUGCUGACGUAACCAACCAAUUGUAGCUUAUACACAUCAUGUCUCUUUGGCUCCAACAUGCCAUUUCCUCUGGAAGAUCAGGAUUCACUUGCCUCUAAUUUAUCUGUGACAGGAGGUUUCUUUAAUAACAAAUUCUUAGAUAUUUAUAAGUUUGGUAUUUCAUAAGCAGUGCUUUUAUGUUUGUACAAACAUGGAGAGUGUUAAGAGUCUUUCAGGAAUAGACAAAACCAUCUUUAGCAUAAAAAGGGAAAUAGUUUUGGUGGUGUUGGUGGUGGUGGUGGUUUAGCACAAUCCUGUGGAUAAGUAAUAGUAAUUGAGUCAGAAAAUCUAGAUUCUGUUUUUGAUUUCCCUAGCUAGAUGAUGCUAGCCAUAUAUGAAGUUUUAAAUUUUCUAGUAGCCACAUUACCAAAUAAAAAUAUGCUAGUGAAAUUAAUUUUACUAAUAUAUUUUAUUUAAACUAAUAUAAAUAAAGUUUCAGGAUAAAAAUAAUUUAUAAGAUAUUUUAUAUUAUUUUACUUGUACUAAACAUUCAAAAACCUGCUAUGUUUUAUACACGCAGCUUAAUUUCAAGUGGGUAUUCUACACAAGUGGCUGGGAGCUGCGAGCCAUAUUGGACAAAUAUUGGGAUGUGAACCAGGGCAGACUCAGUGCCUUUAUGGGAGGAAAAAAAACAAGGUAGAGAUGGAGAUUUGACAAUCAAAAGUAGAUUUGGAGGUGAAUAAUGCAGAAUUUCAGAGGAAAAUCAUGUUUUCUGUGUGAGUGUAUACCUUUCCCUCAAACACACAUUUUUUUACCUUAACAAAAAUUGCGUUAUAAUUGACUUGUAAUGUUGUGUUAGUUUCAGAUGUACAGCAAAAUGAUUCAGUUAUAUGUAUAUGUAUAUAUACAUCCAUUCUUUUUCAGAUUCACUUCCCAUAUAGGUAUUACAGAAUAUUGACUAUAGCUCCCUGUGCUAUACAGUAGGUCCUUGUUGACUACCAAAUUUAUAUAUAGCAGUGUACAUAUGACCGCACCUUUUAGUGAAUCUUUAGUAAAUUCAAAUUUAUUUUGGGCAAGGAGGAGAAAUGCUAAAUCCUAUUCCAUGACUUAUUAGCUCUAAGUACAUUUGCAAAAUGUAAACAUAUAAAAACCUAUUGCAUGUAUUGCUAAUAAACUUUGAUUCUGUUCUGA